rnacentral:rRNA from 1 species
AGUCACUGACAUUACGAUACCCCCGUAGUCCACGGGUGUAAACGCUGCAGACUUGGUGUUGGAAGUCCUUUGGGGCAUUCAGUGCCGGAGAGAAGUUGUUAAGUCUGCUACUUGGGAGUACGUCCGCAAGGAUGAAACUUAAAGGAAUUGCGGGGAGCACCACAACGGGUGGAGCCUGCGGUUUAAUUGGACUCAACGCCGGAAAUCUCACCGGAUAGGACAGACAUAUGAUAGUCGGGCUGAAGACUCUACUUGAUGAUCUG